AGCACCCUACGGGGCGCAGCAGUGGGGAAUAUUGCACAAUGGGGGAAACCCUGAUGCAGCAACGCCGCGUGAGUGAAGAAGUCAUUCGUGAUGUAAAGCUCUAUCAGCAGGGAAGAAAAUGACGGUACCUGAGUAAGAAGCCCCGGCUAACUACGUGCCAGCAGCCGCGGUAAUACGUAGGGGGCAAGCGUUAUCCGGAUUUACUGGGUGUAAAGGGCGCGUAGGCGGACUGUCAAGUCAGUCGUGAAAUACCGAAGCUUAACUUCGUGGCUGCGAUUUAAA
rnacentral:rRNA from 1 species